UGGGGAAUUUUGCACAAUGGGGGAAACCCUGAUGCAGCGACGCCGCGUGAUUUAGAAGGCCUUCGGGUUGUAAAAAUCUUUUUUAUGGGAUGAAAAUGACAGUACCAUAAGAAUAAGGUCCGGCUAAAUACGUGCCAGCAGCCGCGGUAAUACGUAUGGACCGAGCGUUGUCCGGAAUCAUUGGGCGUAAAGGGUACGUAGGCGGCCCAGUAAGUUAGAAGUGAAAUAAUAUAGCUCAACUAUAUAAAGCUUUUAAAACUGCUAGGCUUGAGAGAUGGAAGGGAAAGUGGAAUUCCUAGUGUAGCGGUGAAAUGCGCAGAUAUUAGGAAGGAUACCGGUGGCGAAGGCGACUUUCUGGUCAUCAUCUGACGCUGAGGUACGAAAGCGUGGGUAGCAAACAGG
rnacentral:rRNA from 1 species